AGUGGGCUGCACCAGAAGUAGAUAGCUUAACCUUCGGGAGGGCGUUUACCACGGUGUGGUUCAUGACUGGGGUGAAGUCGUAACAAGGUAGCCCUAGGGGAACCUGGGGCUGGAUCACCUCCUUACCAAA
rnacentral:rRNA from 1 species